GGUGGGGUUCCCGAGUGGCCAAAGGGGACGGGCUGUAAACCCGUUGGCGUUCGCCUUCGCAGGUUCGAAUCCUGCCCCCACCACCA
rnacentral:tRNA from 3 species